GCAUUCGUGCCCGAGCGGUCUAAGGGGUUCGACUCAAGUUCGAAUGUAUUCGUACUCGUGGGGUAAGUUCGAACCACAAAGAGCCCAAGUCAAACUGAUGACACCCAUGCUGACCGAGUGGCCAAUUUUCGCCUUACAGUUCAAAUCCCAUCGAAUGCA